GCUUGAGUUGAUUUUCCAAAAUUGCGGCCUUUCACGCCGACGACAGGGGUUCGAAUCCCCUUAGCAGCA
rnacentral:tRNA from 1 species